AUGUACAGACCAACAUAUGUAUCCAUAUGUCCACACACAGACCCACAUAUCUGUCCAUAUGUGCACACACACAAACCCACACAUGUACCCAAAUGUCAACACAUGCAGACCCACACAUGUGCCCAUGUGGGCACAUUCAUGUCCACAUAUGUACCCGUAUGUGCACGCACAGACCCACACGUGUCCAUAUGUGCACAUAGACCCACAUAUGUGCCCAUAUGUCCACAUACACAGACCCACACAUGUACCCAGAUGCAGACACACACACUCUGUCCCACACACACACCCACAUGUGCACACACACACCCAUGUGUGCUCAUACACGUACCCACAUAUGCACACACACACAUCCCAUAUGUGCUCACACUUGUACCCACAUGUGCACACACACCCCCGUAUGUGCUCACAUGUGCCCAUAUGUGCACACACACACACCCCCGUAUGUGCUCACACGUGCCCAUAUGUGCACACACACACCCCCAUAUGUGCUCACAUGUACCCACAUGUGCACACACACCCACACUCACAUGUUCACACACAUGUACCCACAUGUGCACACACACAUCCCCAUAUGUGCUCACACGUACCCACAUGUGCACACACACCCACAUGUGCACACACACGUACCCACAUGUGCACACACACCCACACCCACAUGUUCACAUACACGUACCCACAUGUGCGCACACACACACCCCCAUAUGUGCUCACACACACCCCCACAUGUGCACACACAUGUACCCAUAUGUGCAAACACACACACACCCAUAUAUGCUUACACACACACUCCCAUAUGUGCUCACACACGUACCCACAUGUGCACACACACAGCCCCAUAGUGCUCACACACACCCACAUGUGCACACACACACACCCCCAUAUGUGCACACACAUGUACCCACAUGUGCACACACACAGCCCCAUAUGUGCUCACACACGUACCCACAUGUGCACACACACACCCCCAUAUGUGCUCACACACGUACCCACAUGUGCACACACACAGCCCUAUAUGUGCUCACACACACCCCACAUGUGCACACACACACCCCCAUAUGUGCACACACACGUACCCACAUGUGCACACACACAGCCCCAUAUGUGCUCACACACCCCCACAUGUGCACACACACACCCCCAUAUGUGCACACACACGUACCCACAUGUGCUCACACACGUACCCACAUGUGCACACACACACACCCCCACAUGUGCACCCCC
rnacentral:lncRNA from 1 species